rnacentral:tRNA from 1 species
GUCUGUAUGGUUUAGUGGUUAAAGCACCAGGCUGGAAACCAAGAAAGUGUGAAUUCUACUUCCACCUUAGGCA